AACGAACGCUGGCGGCAGGCUUAACACCUGCAAGUCGAACGCAUCGCAAGAUGAGUGGCAGACGGGUGAGUAACGCGUGGGAACAUACCCUUUUCUACGGAAUAGCUCUGGGAAACUGGAAUUAAUACCGUAUACGCCCUACGGGGGAAAGAUUUAUCGGGGAAGGAUUGGCCAGCGUUGGAUUAGCUAGUUGGUGGGGUAAAGGCCUACCAAGGCGAGGAUCCAUAGCUGGUCUGAGAGGAUGAUCAGCCACAUUGGGACUGAGACACGGCCCAAACUCCUACUGGAGGCAGCAGUGGGGAAUAUUGGACAAUGGGCGCAAGCCUGAUCCAGCCAUGCCGCGUGAGUGAUGAAGGCCUUAGGGUUGUAAAGCUCUUUCACCGAUGAAGAUAAUGACGGUAGUCGGAGAAAAAGCCCCGGCUAACUUCGUGCCAGCCGCCGCUGUAACAC
rnacentral:rRNA from 1 species